CCCUCUCAUCUUCACGCUGCCGUGACCAGCUCCUCCUCACUCGAUCGCCGCCGGUGAAGUCCUCAGCCGGCAACGUGCUAGCGACCUUGAAGCUGCAGCACCGUCUCCUGAUCUUGCCGACGCCGAACCCUUUCCACCCGAUUCCCUUCCUCUUCUCCUCCGCCCCUCUUGCUGUGAUCGCCUCUUCAUCUUGUCUUCGUCGCCGACCAAAAGAGCAGCUGUCCAUUUCGGGAGUCGGCUUGUCACGCCAUCGAUUCACCGCCGGCUAUGGGAGAUUUGGUGAUGACGAGUCGGAUUUCCUCCGCAAGUUGCCAUUUCCGACCACGAGCCUGCAUCAUCCGCUGGCCACUGCUUUGGGGCAUUUAUUGCCAAGGCUAGGGCAGGGCUCGACCUCACUGUCAUGAGCAGCCUCAAGCUCUGGUUUCUUUCCCUAGCCGACGAUGCCUGUUCGAGGGAGGUUAGGACAGCAACACUGAUGGCCAGCAGUAGCAUUCAUCCGAGAGGAGUUUAUGGAAUUGGAUUAAUUCUUGAAGGCAGUGGCUUCGCUUGG